rnacentral:rRNA from 1 species
UGCCCUAGUAACGGCGAGUGAAGCGGCAACAGCUCAAUUUGAAAUCUGGCUCUUUUAGGGUCCGAGUUGUAAUUUGCAGAGGGCGCUUUGGCGUUGGCAGCGGUCCAAGUUCUUUGGAACAGGACGUCACAGAGGGUGAGAAUCCCGUACGUGGUCGCUAGCCUUCGCCGUGUAAAGCCCCUUCGACGAGUCGAGUUGUUUGGGAAUGCAGCUCUAAAUGGGAGGUAAAUUUCUUCUAAAGCUAAAUACUGGCCAGAGACCGAUAGCGCACAAGUAGAGUGAUCGAAAGAUGAAAAGCACUUUGGAAAGAGAGUCAAAUAGCACGUGAAAUUGUUGAAAGGGAAGCGCUUGCAGCCAGACUUGCCUGUAGUUGCUUAUCCGGACUUUUGUCCGGUGCACUCUUCUGCGGGCAGGCCAGCAUCAGUUUGGGCGGUUGGAUAAAGGUCUCUGUCAUGUACCUCUCUUCGGGGAGGCCUUAUAGGGGAGACGACAUGCAACCAGCCUGGACUGAGGUCCGCGCAUCUGCUAGGAUGCUGGCGUAAUGGCUGUAAGCGGCCCGUCUUGAAACACGGACCAAGGAGUCUAACAUCUAUGCGAGUGUUUGGGUGUCAAGCCCAGACGCGUAAUGAAAGUGAACGGAGGUGGGAACCCUUUGGGUGCACCAUCGACCGAUCCUGAUGUCUUCGGAUGGAUUUGAGUAAGAGCAUGGCUGUUGGGACCCGAAAGAUGGUGAACUAUGCUUGAAUAGGGUGAAGCCAGAGGAAACUCUGGUGGAGGCUCGCAGCGGUUCUGACGUGCAAAUCGAUCGUCAAAUUUGGGCAUAGGGGCGAAAGACUAAUCGAACUAUCUAGUAGCUGGUUCCUGCCGAAGUUUCCCUCAGGAUAGCAGUAACGUAUUCAGUUUUAUGAGGUAAAGCGAAUGAUUAGAGGCCUGGGGGUUGAAACAACCUUCACCUAUUCUCAAACUUUAAAUAUGUAAGAAGUCCUUGUUACUUGAUUGAACGUGGACACUUGAAUGUACCGUUACUAGUGGGCCAUUUUUGGUAAGCAGAACUGGCGAUGCGGGAUGAACCGAACGCGGGGUUAAGGUGCCAGAAUAUACGCUCAUCAGACACCACAAAAGGUGUUAGUUCAUCUAGACAGCAGGACGGUGGCCAUGGAAGUCGGAACCCGCUAAGGAGUGUGUAACAACUCACCUGCCGAAUGAACUAGCC